rnacentral:Y_RNA from 1 species
GGCUGGUCCAAAGAUAAUGACUUAUCUCAACUGAUUGUUCAUAGCUGCAGAUCGAACUCCUUGUUUGACGCUUUCCUCCUUUCUCACUACUGCACUUGAUUAGUCUAAA